UGGGGGAUAUUGCACAAUGGGGGGAAACCCUGAUGCAGCGACGCCGCGUGAGGGAAGACGGUCCUCUGGAUUGUAAACCUCUGUCUUCGGGGACGAAAGAAGACGGUACCCGAGGAGGAAGCCACGGCUAACUACGUGCCAGCAGCCGCGGUAAUACGUAGGUGGCAAGCGUUGUCCGGAAUUACUGGGUGUAAAGGGAGCGUAGGCGGGCAGGCAAGUCAGGCGUGAAAUAUAUCGGCUCAACCGGUAUCGGCGCUUGAAACUGCAGGUCUUGAGUGAAGUAGAGGUUGGCGGAAUUCCUAGUGUAGCGGUGAAAUGCGUAGAUAUUAGGAGGAACAC
rnacentral:rRNA from 1 species